GUUAGAUGCGAUGGGGGGACGGAUCGCGGAAGGUUGUCCGGGUGUUGGACGUCCCGGUCGCUGCAUUGGAGAAGGCGCUUAGGCAAAUCCGGGCGCAGGAUUCAAGGGUGUGGCGCGAGCGACUUCGGUCGCGAAGCAAUUGGAAGUGGUUCCAAGAAAAGCCUCUAAGCUUCAGUCUAACGAUGACCGUACCGCAAACCGACACAGGUGGGCGAGAUGAGUAUUCUAAGGCGCUUGAGAGAACUCGGGAGAAGGAACUCGGCAAAUUGGUACCGUAACUUCGGGAUAAGGUACGCCCUUGUAGCUUGACUGGCCUGCGCCAGGAGGGUGAAGGGGUUGCAAUAAACUGGUGGCUGCGACUGUUUAAUAAAAACACAGCACUCUGCAAACACGAAAGUGGACGUAUAGGGUGUGACGCCUGCCCGGUGCCGGAAGAUUAAAUGAUGGGGUGCAAGCUCUUGAUUGAAGUCCCGGUAAACGGCGGCCGUAACUAUAACGGUCCUAAGGUAGCGAAAUUCCUUGUCGGGUAAGUUCCGACCUGCACGAAUGGCGUAACGAUGGCCACACUGUCUCCUCCCGAGACUCAGCGAAGUUGAAGUGUUUGUGAUGAUGCAAUCUACCCGCGGCUAGACGGAGAGACCCCAUGAACCUUUACUGUAGCUUUGCAUUGGACUUUGAACCGAUCUGUGUAGGAUAGGUGGGAGGCUAUGAAACCGGAACGCUAGUUUCGGUGGAGCCGUCCUUGAAAUACCACCCUGGUUUGUUUGAGGUUCUAACCUUGGCCCGUGAUCCGGGUCGGGGACAGUGCAUGGUAGGCAGUUUGACUGGGGCGGUCUCCUCCCAAAGGGUAACGGAGGAGUACGAAGGUACGCUAGGUACGGUCGGAAAUCGUGCUGAUAGUGCAAUGGCAUAAGCGUGCUUAACUGCGAGACCGACAAGUCGAGCAGGUGCGAAAGCAGGUCAUAGUGAUCCGGUGGUUCUGUAUGGAAGGGCCAUCGCUCAACGGAUAAAAGGUACUCUGGGGAUAACAGGCUGAUACCGCCCAAGAGUUCAUAUCGACGGCGGUGUUUGGCACCUCGAUGUCGGCUCAUCUCAUCCUGGGGCUGUAGCCGGUCCCAAGGGUAUGGCUGUUCGCCAUUUAAAGAGGUACGUGAGCUGGGUUUAAAACGUCGUGAGACAGUUUGGUCCCUAUCUGCCGUGGGCGUUGGAUAUUUGAAGGGGGCUGCUCCUAGUACGAGAGGACCGGAGUGGACGAACCUCUGGUGUACCGGUUGUGACGCCAGUCGCAUCGCCGGGUAGCUAUGUUCGGAAGAGAUAACCGCUGAAAGCAUCUAAGCGGGAAACUCGCCUUAAGAUGAGAUAUCCCUGGAGGCUUGACCUCCUUGAAGGGUCGUUCGAGACCAGGACGUUGAUAGGUCGGGUGUGUAAGCGCAGUAAUGCGUUCAGCUAACCGAUACUAAUUGCCCGUAAGGCUUGAUCCU
rnacentral:rRNA from 1 species